GGACGAACGCUGGCGGCGUGCUUAACACAUGCAAGUCGAACGGAAAGGCCUGCUUUCCCUUGUGGAUUGCGGGUACUCGAGUGGCGAACGGGUGAGUAACACGUGAGUGAUCUGCCCCCAACUUGGGUAUAAGCCUGGGAAACUGGGUCUAAUUCCCGAUAGGACUGCAGGGUGGUGCCUGUGGUGGAAAACGAUUUUCUAGUGGUUGGGGAUGAGCUCGCGGCCUAUCAGCUUGUUGGUGGGGUAAUGGCCUACCAAGGCGGCGACGGGUAGCCGGCCUGGGAGGGUGGACGGCCACAUUGGGACUGGGAUACGGCCCAGACUCCUACGGGAGGCAGCAGUGGGGAAUAUUGCACAAUGGGCGGAAGCCUGAUGCAGCGACGCCGCGUGGGGGAUGACGGCCUUCGGGUUGUAAACUCCUUUCGACCGCGAGGAAGCCACCUGGUUGGAAGGGUGGUGACGGUAGUGGUAGAAGAAGCACCGGCUAACUACGUG
rnacentral:rRNA from 1 species